AUUGAACGCUGGCGGCAGGCCUAACACAUGCAAGUCGAACGAGUGGCGGACGGGUGAGUAAUGUCUGGGAAACUGCCUGAUGGAGGGGGAUAACUACUGGAAACGGUAGCUAAUACCGCAUACCAUCGGAUGUGCCCAGAUGGGAUUAGCUAGUAGGUGGGGUAAAGGCUCACCUAGGCGACGAUCCCUAGCUGGUCUGAGAGGAUGACCGGCAAAACUGGAACUGGGACACGGUCCAGACUCCUACGGGAGGCAGCAGUGGGGAAUAUUGCACAAUGGGGGCAAGCCUGAUGCGGCCAUGCCGCGUGUAUGAGGAAGGCCUUCGGGUUGUAAAGUACUUUCAGCGGGGAGGCGUUACCCGCAGAGAAAGCACCGGCUAACUCCGUGCCAGCCGCCGCGGUAAUUC
rnacentral:rRNA from 1 species